UCCCUGCCACAUCCUGGAUAUGAUGGUUGCUAUAGUUACAAGAAAGCUGCUUCAGUCACAUUCCAACUCUGGUGGUUGCCAGGGUUACUAGAAGGGAUGCACUGCUCCUAGAGAAACAUACCGUUUCAUGACGAUUUGAGUAGUAGCCUAGCGAAGUGUUUUCAAACUCUUUCAACAAAGCUAAUGCCAUACUUUGCUUAUCCUAAGUCUAUGUUCUCGCAGGGGCGCAGGUAGCCAAGUGGUUAAAACGUUCGCCCGUCACACCGAAGAUCCGGGUUCGAUUCCCCACAUGGGUACAAUGUGUGAAGCCCAUUUCUGGUGUUCCCUGUCGUGAUAUUGCUGGAAUAUUGCUAAAAGCGGCGUAAAACUAAACUCACUCACUCACUCACUAUGUUCUUGCACAGGUGUAACAUCUGUCACCAUUGCAAGUAUUUCUUAUCAUGGGUCUGUGUCAGACAGCUGUAUUCCAGUAUCACAAGUAGCCUGACGUCCGAGGGGUUGUACUGUGGUGGGCAUGUAGCUGUAGACGACGAUGUAGGAUCCUUAGCGUGGUUUCACCCUGAAAUUGGAGUAGAUGCAUACGAGUAGGUCAUGUGUACAUAUACAUCUCAUGUUGUGAUUUACACAAAUUCAUCAUAAAUUUGGUUUAUUUUGUUACAAUGUUCUGAUUGCUCACUUGAAGUCCUACAUAUUACAGUUGUAGUCAUGUUUGUGGUGAUGUGUCAUGGGCUUUAAAUAUGAACUUAAUGCUGAAAACUAAAUGACUGUCAGAAAAUCUUUAUGAGCUAGCAGUAAAAAAUUCCUAAUAACCUACAAUGUAUUUCAAUACUGUUUGUACUGAUGUUUAUUUAAUAAAUACUUACCAUGAAACGUUUUUUAAAGACGGCAGUUUGAAACAUUAAACAUUCCAAAACGGACGUUCAUAAUGUUUUCUAACAAGUACUGUAGACUUAAGCAUUAUGCAUUGUUACAAAACUUAAGUUUAUAUGUAAUGCCCUUGACAGAUAGUUGGUUAAACUAUUUUAUUGGUACUUAUACUUAUUAAAAAAUGUGUCGUAUACUCAAGAUCAACAAAUAAAGCGACAUACAAGUCACUUCAGCAAAUCAAACAUAGCAAAUGCUUGUUGUUGACAUGAUUGGUAAUCAACACCCAGAACCUGCACACCUCGGGGAAAACCCUACUUAUUAGAUGGAUUCUAACUAUAUAUCUUCUAUACUGUUGUGCUCAUUCAUAUAUAGGUAUUGGUGCUAGUAGGAAUUUCAAAAUGUGUAAACAUGACUUCUAAUUCAAAUAUUUACACCACAAACAGAUCUGUGAUUUUGGAUUCAGUUCUAUCUCUUAACUUACAAUAUGUGUUGUAACUCAUGGUCUGAAUUGCUGGUUAACAAACUUUCAAAAUCAUCUAUAGCGUUCAAGAUGUGCAGUGUUAUCAAAGCUUAGACUAAUUUUUU